CCGAUUAGGAGUAGAUCUCGUUUGUACACAUUCAUCUGAGACUGAAGAGUAGGAAGAUAACAGCAAUAUGGAAGCUAUACGGCACACUAAGAUACGCGUUAACGGAAUAAAUAUGCACGUAGCUGAGAUCGCCGGCGAUGGUCUGCCGGUUCUAUUCCUCCACGGUUUUCCCGAACUCUGGUACUCCUGGAGACACCAGAUGCUAUAUCUCUCGGCCCUUGGUUAUCGAACAAUCGCUCCUGACCUUCGCGGCUACGGAGAGACCGACGCUCCUCCUUCCGCCGCCGACUAUUCCGCCUUUCACAUAGUCGGCGAUUUGGUGUCGCUCCUCGACGCCCUAGGUCUGGACCAGGUGUUUCUUGUUGGCCACGAUUGGGGAGCCAUCAUAGCUUGGUACUUUUGUUUGUUACGGCCUGAUCGGAUUAAGGCGUUGGUUAAUAUGAGUGUUGUAUUUAGUCCCAGAAAUCCGGUGAGAAAACCAAUUGAAUCGAUGCGCGCCAUGUUUGGAAACGAUUAUUACAUAUGCAGAUUUCAGAUAUGUUGUUUACGGGUCUGUCAACUGUUGUUCGAUGCAGCAACCUGGAGAGGCAGAAGAAGAGCUUGCACGUGUAGAUACUGCACUAGUCAUAAAAAAGUUUCUCGCAUCCCGUAAUCCAGGUCUGCUUUGUGUCCCUAAAGAAGUCGGACUUGGGGGUAACCCCAAUUCUAAGAUCACACUUCCCUCAUGGUUAUCCGAAGACGACGUGAAUUAUUAUGCCACCAGCUUUAACCGCACAGGCUUCACCGGUGGAUUGAACUACUAUCGAGCUUUGGACUUAAACUGGGAACUAACAGCAGCAUGGACUGGUGUCCAAAUAAAGGUGCCAGUUAAGUUUAUAGUGGGAGACCUGGACCUUACCUAUAACACCCCUGGUGUGAAGGACUUCAUACACAAAGGGGGAUUCAAUAAGCAUGUCCCUUUCUUGCAAGAACUUGUGAUUAUGGAAGGAGUUGCUCAUUAUAUUAAUCAAGAAAAGCCCCAAGAAGUUAAUCAACACAUCUAUGAUUUCAUCAAGAAGUUUUGAGUUACUUUCUUGACGUAAUCAUCGCACCAAUCGUGUAAAAAGUUAUCAUGUCGAAUACCCAUUAGGAGACGUAUUUUAAUUUUUUCUUCUUAUUUUUACUGAAUGAUGCAUGUUAUUUGAAAUGAAUUGUCUUAUUUAAAC